rnacentral:rRNA from 1 species
UCGAACGAUGAACCCGCUUGCGGGGGAUUAGUGGCGAACGGGUGAGUAACACGUGAGUAACCUGCCCUUAACUCUGGGAUAAGCCUUGGAAACGGGGUCUAAUACUGGAUAUUGACUUUACCUCGCAUGGGGUUUUGUUGAAAGAUUUAUUGGUUUUGGAUGGACUCGCGGCCUAUCAGCUUGUUGGUGAGGUAAUGGCUCACCAAGGCGACGACGGGUAGCCGGCCUGAGAGGGUGACCGGCCACACUGGGACUGAGACACGGCCCAGACUCCUACGGGAGGCAGCAGUGGGGAAUAUUGCACAAUGGGCGAAAGCCUGAUGCAGCGACGCCGCGUGAGGGAUGACGGCCUUCGGGUUGUAAACCUCUUUCAGUAGGGAACAAGGCCAGCA